CAUUGCGCAUGCCCCAUUAUUCCACGGUACAUUCAAACACGCAGACAUGCUAAUGGCUUCUACUGGCAGACUGCGAUCACUGCUGUUGGAAUCCCGACUCCUUUUGUCUCUAUGGUUUGGAGCAUUUUCCUACUGUUUUGCCAGGAAUGGAAGUGGUAGUCAUUAAAGAAAAGCUUUGGUUUUAUUUAUUGUGUCCUAGAUUUGUUGGCUGAUCCUGCUUCGUGUUUUCAUUUAUGUUUUAAUAAAAUUAUAAAUAAAAUUAC